rnacentral:rRNA from 1 species
GUGUCAGCCGCCGCGGUAAUACGAAGGGGGCUAGCGUUGUUCGGAAUUACUGGGCGUAAAGGGCGCGUAGGCGGUACUUCAAGUCAGGCGUGAAAGCCCCGGGCUCAACCUGGGAACCGCGCUUGAGACUGGAGAACUAGAGUUCGGGAGAGGAUGGUGGAAUUCCCAGUGUAGAGGUGAAAUUCGUAGAUAUUGGGAAGAACACCGAUGGCGAAGGCAGCCAUCUGGACCGACACUGACGCUGAGGCGCGAAAGCGUGGGGAGCAAACAGGAUUAGAAACCCUAGUAGUCC